UUAAGCGACUAAGCGUACACGGUGGAUGCCCUGGCAGUCAGAGGCGAUGAAGGACGUGCUAAUCUGCGAUAAGCGUCGGUAAGGUGAUAUGAACCGUUAUAACCGGCGAUUUCCGAAUGGGGAAACCCAGUGUGAUUCGUCACACUAUCAUUAACUGAAUCCAUAGGUUAAUGAGGCGAACCGGGGAACUGAAACAUCUAAGUACCCCGAGGAAAAGAAAUCAACCGAGAUUCCCCCAGUAGCGGCGAGCGAACGGGGAGCAGCCCAGAGCCUGAAUCAGUGUGUGUGUUAGUGGAAGCGUCUGGAAAGGCGUGCGAUACAGGGUGACAGCCCCGUACACAAAAAUGCACAUACUGUGAGCUCGAUGAGUAGGGCGGGACACGUGGUAUCCUGUCUGAAUAUGGGGGGACCAUCCUCCAAGGCUAAAUACUCCUGACUGACCGAUAGUGAACCAGUACCGUGAGGGAAAGGCGAAAAGAACCCCGGCGAGGGGAGUGAAAAAGAACCUGAAACCGUGUACGUACAAGCAGUGGGAGCACGCUUAGGCGUGUGACUGCGUACCUUUUGUAUAAUGGGUCAGCGACUUAUAUUCUGUAGCAAGGUUAACCGAAUAGGGGAGCCGAAGGGAAACCGAGUCUUAACUGGGCGUUAAGUUGCAGGGUAUAGACCCGAAACCCGGUGAUCUAGCCAUGGGCAGGUUGAAGGUUGGGUAACACUAACUGGAGGACCGAACCGACUAAUGUUGAAAAAUUAGCGGAUGACUUGUGGCUGGGGGUGAAAGGCCAAUCAAACCGGGAGAUAGCUGGUUCUCCCCGAAAGCUAUUUAGGUAGCGCCUCGUGAAUUCAUCUCCGGGGGUAGAGCACUGUUUCGGCAAGGGGGUCAUCCCGACUUACCAACCCGAUGCAAACUGCGAAUACCGGAGAAUGUUAUCACGGGAGACACACGGCGGGUGCUAACGUCCGUCGUGAAGAGGGAAACAACCCAGACCGCCAGCUAAGGUCCCAAAGUCAUGGUUAAGUGGGAAACGAUGUGGGAAGGCCCAGACAGCCAGGAUGUUGGCUUAGAAGCAGCCAUCAUUUAAAGAAAGCGUAAUAGCUCACUGGUCGAGUCGGCCUGCGCGGAAGAUGUAACGGGGCUAAACCAUGCACCGAAGCUGCGGCAGCGACGCUUAUGCGUUGUUGGGUAGGGGAGCGUUCUGUAAGCCUGUGAAGGUGUGCUGUGAGGUAUGCUGGAGGUAUCAGAAGUGCGAAUGCUGACAUAAGUAACGAUAAAGCGGGUGAAAAGCCCGCUCGCCGGAAGACCAAGGGUUCCUGUCCAACGUUAAUCGGGGCAGGGUGAGUCGACCCCUAAGGCGAGGCCGAAAGGCGUAGUCGAUGGGAAACAGGUUAAUAUUCCUGUACUUGGUGUUACUGCGAAGGGGGGACGGAGAAGGCUAUGUUGGCCGGGCGACGGUUGUCCCGGUUUAAGCGUGUAGGCUGGUUUUCCAGGCAAAUCCGGAAAAUCAAGGCCGAGGCGUGAUGACGAGGCACUACGGUGCUGAAGCAACAAAUGCCCUGCUUCCAGGAAAAGCCUCUAAGCAUCAGGUAACAUCAAAUCGUACCCCAAACCGACACAGGUGGUCAGGUAGAGAAUACCAAGGCGCUUGAGAGAACUCGGGUGAAGGAACUAGGCAAAAUGGUGCCGUAACUUCGGGAGAAGGCACGCUGAUACGUAGGUGAAGCGACUUGCUCGUGGAGCUGAAAUCAGUCGAAGAUACCAGCUGGCUGCAACUGUUUAUUAAAAACACAGCACUGUGCAAACACGAAAGUGGACGUAUACGGUGUGACGCCUGCCCGGUGCCGGAAGGUUAAUUGAUGGGGUUAGCGCAAGCGAAGCUCUUGAUCGAAGCCCCGGUAAACGGCGGCCGUAACUAUAACGGUCCUAAGGUAGCGAAAUUCCUUGUCGGGUAAGUUCCGACCUGCACGAAUGGCGUAAUGAUGGCCAGGCUGUCUCCACCCGAGACUCAGUGAAAUUGAACUCGCUGUGAAGAUGCAGUGUACCCGCGGCAAGACGGAAAGACCCCGUGAACCUUUACUAUAGCUUGACACUGAACAUUGAGCCUUGAUGUGUAGGAUAGGUGGGAGGCUUUGAAGUGUGGACGCCAGUCUGCAUGGAGCCGACCUUGAAAUACCACCCUUUAAUGUUUGAUGUUCUAACGUGGACCCGUGAUCCGGGUUGCGGACAGUGUCUGGUGGGUAGUUUGACUGGGGCGGUCUCCUCCUAAAGAGUAACGGAGGAGCACGAAGGUUGGCUAAUCCUGGUCGGACAUCAGGAGGUUAGUGCAAUGGCAUAAGCCAGCUUGACUGCGAGCGUGACGGCGCGAGCAGGUGCGAAAGCAGGUCAUAGUGAUCCGGUGGUUCUGAAUGGAAGGGCCAUCGCUCAACGGAUAAAAGGUACUCCGGGGAUAACAGGCUGAUACCGCCCAAGAGUUCAUAUCGACGGCGGUGUUUGGCACCUCGAUGUCGGCUCAUCACAUCCUGGGGCUGAAGUAGGUCCCAAGGGUAUGGCUGUUCGCCAUUUAAAGUGGUACGCGAGCUGGGUUUAGAACGUCGUGAGACAGUUCGGUCCCUAUCUGCCGUGGGCGCUGGAGAACUGAGGGGGGCUGCUCCUAGUACGAGAGGACCGGAGUGGACGCAUCACUGGUGUUCGGGUUGUCAUGCCAAUGGCACUGCCCGGUAGCUAAAUGCGGAAGAGAUAAGUGCUGAAAGCAUCUAAGCACGAAACUUGCCCCGAGAUGAGUUCUCCCUGACCCUUUAAGGGUCCUGAAGGAACGUUGAAGACGACGACGUUGAUAGGCCGGGUGUGUAAGCGCAGCGAUGCGUUGAGCUAACCGGUACUAAUGAACCGUGAGGCUUAACCUU
rnacentral:rRNA from 2 species